rnacentral:rRNA from 1 species
AGAGACUGCAAGCGUUAUUCGGAUUCACUGGGCGUAAAGGGUGCGCAGGCGGCCAAGUGUGUGAGGCGUGAAAGCCCGGGGCUUAACCCCGGAAUUGCACCUCAAACUACAUGGCUAGAGCAUUGGAGAGGGUAGCAGAAUUCACGGUGUAGCAGUGAAAUGCGUAGAUAUCGUGAGGAAUACCAGAGGCGAAGGCGGCUACCUGGACAAUUGCUGACGCUCAGGCACGAAAGCGUGGGGAGCAAAAGGGAUUAGAUACCCCUGUAGUCCACGCCCUAAACGGUGCACACUAGGUCUUGGCGGAUUCGACCCCCCCAGGGCCCAAGCUAACGCGUUAAGUGUGCCGCCUGAGGACUACGGCCGCAAGGCUAAA